rnacentral:lncRNA from 1 species
CCAGCUCAGCUUCCUCGUGCGCCGCAUUUAAGGUCCUGUCCCAGACACUUAGGCCGGAUAAAUCAUGAUGCAAAUUCUCCAGGUUUGCAUCAGCCAUUCGAAAGGGCUCCCGGCAUUACUCAGCUUUUCUCUCCUCCGCCCUCUUCCUCCUCCUCCCUCCCUCUUCUCUCUCCCUCCCUCCCUCCCUCCCUCACCCCCUCUUUCUUCUUCCCCCUCCCUCCCUCCCUCUCUCCCUUUCUUUUUCCCCCUCUCUCUCUCCCUCCCUCCCUCUCCCCCCUUUUCCCCUUCCCUGUUUCCCUCUCAUUCUUUUUCCCCCUCCCCCGCCCCCGUCCCCGUCCCUCUCUCCCCCUCGCAUCGUGUCGCACAGGGUCUCUCUCGUCUGUCGUCUGUCGUCUGUCGUCUGUCGUCUGUCCUCUGUCCUCCGUCCCCGGUCUCUGGCUCUGUGACUCGGCGGUGUCGGUCUCUGUCGGCGUCGGGCGGCGGCGGCGGCAGGUUUCUGGCGGCGGGGCGUCCUUCGAAGGAAGGGGCGUCCCGGCGGUUGGGGGGCGUCCCAUAGGCUCCCCGCCGCCCCGGCCCCGGCCCCGGGCUCCGGGCUCCGGGCUCGGGACUCAGCGGCCCCCGGCGGGCGGGUCCCAGCCGUUAGCGAAGGGGCGCGGGGCCGGGAGCCCAGCGGCGGCUCUCAAACCGAAAGAGGAAAUCCGGCGGAUUUCGUCCCCCGGGGUCCGGGGGGUCCGGCCUCUUCCCCACCCCCCUCGGGAGGCGGGGGGGGGGCGGGGGGGCGGGAGGGGGUCUUGUCCCCCCCACCCCCGGCCCGGCGACAAGAAGAAGUCCGGCGGGCGCCGCCAGCCGCCGCCACGACCACCCCCACCCACCCCCAGCCCCCCUUUGGAAACAUGGGGUGGGCGAGCAGGCCCCCCGCCGCCAGCGCCCGGUCCUGCGGAGAAGCAGCCCGCCUCAGGGGCAAGAGCACGGGAGCCGCCGGUCUGCCCUGCGACCCCUGGCCCGGCCGCUUGA